AGGCAGCAGUGGGGAAUAUUGGACAAUGGGCGCAAGCCUGAUCCAGCCAUGCCGCGUGAGUGAAGAAGGCCUUCGGGUUGUAAAGCUCUUUUGUCCGGAAAGAAAAGCCUUCGGUUAAUACCCCGCGGUAUUGACGGUACCCGCCGGAAGAAUAAGCACCGGCUAACUUCGUGCCA
rnacentral:rRNA from 1 species